rfam:Plasmodium cynomolgi strain B DNA, chromosome 8.
AAAAAACAUAAUAGAAGAGCAGAUCCGCCGAAUUUAAACAUAUAUAAUUAAGCGGAAGAAAAGAAAAUAACAAUGAUUCCUUUAGUAACGGCGAGUGAACAAGGAACAGCUCAAAAAGGAAAAUCCCUUAGUUUGUGCAAGCUUACUUUGGGAAUUGUCAUGUUGAGUAAUCUUCCAAUUAAUGAUUUAGCAUUUAAGCGAAGUGAGCAGGAAAGCUCCCCCUAAGAGGGUGAAAGGCCCGUAGUUUAUUGCUUUACUUUUUUUGGAAUUUUACUUGUAGAGUCGUGUUCUUUGAGAUUGGAGCACAAAUGUGUGUGAUACAUUUCACAUAAAGCUAAAUAUGUGUAGGAGACCGAUAGCAAACAAGUACCGUGAGGGAAAGAUGAAAUAGUACUCAGGAAUGAGCCAUUAAAUAGUACCUGAAAUCGUUAAGAUGGAACGGAUUAAGAGAGAAAGAAUAGUAAAGUGGGGAAAUGAUUCUUCGGAAUUAUUUUUCUUCUUUAUUGUAAAAAGGAUUAUCAGUGAAUGGGGAUAGCAGAAACGAAGCCAUAUAUAAAUACCGCAUAUAUGAAGCCAGACACGCAAGAAAUUGUGAUCUCUGUACUUUAAAGCUGUUGCCCCCUAGAUUUUCGGAUUUAGGUCAAGGCAAUACGACGGUUUACUUGAUUUUCCCCCCUGGAAAGUUACAUAUCCUAUUUACUGAGGAAGCAUUUAAAUAGUAAAAAAUUAAGUGAGGGACUCUUUUUUUUACCUUUUGCGAUAAUCCUAACUUUUGUGAGCUUUCUUAACCCACCCGUUUUGAGACACGGACCAAGGAGUCUACCAAAUAUGCGAGUGUACACGAUUACAGCUAAACGACCUUAUCAUUUUUUUGUACGCGACGGCAUAUUUUGUAUAUAUGCAAUUUGUAGAAUGCGGGAGAGACUUAUCAUAUUUUCUCCAUGGCAUACAAUACCGGUGGCAGCCAUUGUUAUAUGCUGUACCGAGUAAGAGCAUAUUUGAUAGGACCCGAAAGGCUUUGAACUAAGUGUGGUGAGACUGAAGUCAGUCGAAAGUCUGAUGGAGGGUCGAAUUGAUAACGAUGUAAGAAUCGUUCAUUUCAACUGCAUUUAGGGGUGAAAGACUAUACGAAAAGCCUAAUAGCUGGUUAUUUUCGAAGGAUCUCUCAAGAUCGCUGGAGUUUGCAGCAAUAUGCGCAGUUAUUCAUUUGAGAAGGUGAGUAUUUUGCAACCUCUUGUAUGCAAAUGCGCGUAUAAGAGAGUUACAAUAUAUAUACUUCUGGCAUGAGACCAAUGGAUCGUAUUCGGUUUCGAGGGUUACUCCGCUUGCGGGGUGACGCUUCGUUGCUGGGACGACUUCUCUCUCGAUUUUCCGAAAUGUACUAUAAGGAAAAUGUGAACAUAGUUUGACAUUAUGUUGUACGUCAUUCCUUUUAUGGCGCCUUCUCUGAAUUAAUGAUAACUCCAAGUGGACCAUUUCCGGUGAGAGGAAAUGGCUAUGAGGGUUCAACCUAACGCCUGGAUAAGGUGCCUAAAUGUUCGCUCAUUAGAUCCGAUAAAAAAAAGGUGUUGGGUCAUAAUGACAGCAGGACGGUACUCAUAGAAGUCGAGAUCCGCUAAGGAGUGUGUACCAACUCACCUGCCGAGUGAACUUGCCCUGAAAAUGGAUGGCGCUAAAGCGGAAUACCGAUACCAGGCCAUAAAAGGAUAAGAAAAAGAGCUUCUUUUUUUAGAAUCCUUUUAUGAGUAGAAAAUCGUGGGGUUUUGUGUCGAAGCGAAAUACGUGAGUUUUCGUGGAACAUAUCCCUAGUGCAGAUCUUGGUGGAAGUAGCAAAUAUUCAAAUGAGAACUUUGAAGACUGAAGUGGAGAAGGGUUUUUUGUUAACUGUGUUUGUACAAAAGUUAGCCGCUCCUAAGAGACAACCGAAGGGUUUGAAAAUGGCCGGGAAAAGGGAUUACACAAUGUAUGCAUAUAUAUGUGCUUACAUAUGUAUAUACAUAUAUUCAUAUGUAUGCCACACAUGUAGGCAUACAUUGUGUCUUUCUGGCCCCCCUAGCCUACUCGAAAGGGAAACAGGUUAAUAUUCCUGUGCCAUACGAAUGGUAUAUAAAACAUAACGUUCAGGGUUUUUUUUUCUAAAAAAAAACAGAAAGGUGGUAACACAAAUAGCAAAUGAACUCCUUUACAUAGGCCUUACAUUCGAGGUGCGUUUUCUUUGCACUUAACUUUGCGGCAAACCUCGGAGUAACAAUUUACUUGGAGAAGAGGUAUGCUGAACCUGCAUAUCGGGGAAAAGGUGUACAUGGGAAUCUUGGUUCUUCUGUGCAGUUCUUCUCCGACCUUUGUAGUAAUAGUAAUUCUUUUAACGGAAUUAUUCGAAAGCGUAAGGACUAUCCUUGAAAAAAGGAGGGAACAAGUAAAUUUUGAAAAUAGGGGAUAAAUUCCCGUUCCAGCGGAGAAUUAUCUUCCUCUUUAUUUUCAUAUAUGCUGAAUACCAUUGUUGUGCGUACCGAAUAACCGCAUCAGGUCUCCAAGGUUAGCAGCCUCUGGUUAAAUAGAACAAUGUAAGUAAGGGAAGUAAGACAAAUUGGAUCCGUAACUUCGGGAUAAGGAUAUGGCUCUGAUGAUACUAAGCGAAGUUCAUGAUGGGGUGGUUAGUUAUCGUAUAGGUCUGGGGAGAAGAGGCGGGUAUAUAUAUAAAGGCUGUUCUGGAUGAUUUUUCAUCUGUUCAUACUUUGUAUGUAUGCUCGUUUUCUUCAACCCUACUAUAUAUAUUUCUUUCCCCCUUUCUUUCGUACUGCGAAAAUUAUGGUAUUUUCUAUUUAAGUGCAUUGCACCAGCGUGUCUUAAAUGGGGGAUGCCAUGACCGACGUAGAUAUAUACAGUAUCAAAUCAGAACUGAAACUGACAAGAGGAAUUUGACUGUUUACGACAUAGCACUGUGAACGCCCUCACAGAGUAAGGUAUAUGUACAUGUAUGCGUAAAAUGUAUAUAUGUUUAUGUAUACGUACUCUUUUGGAGCAUCCUUGACGCAGUGUGACAUCUGCCCAGUGCUUUUGAAUAACCCAGAGUAGCUGUAAUUCAAUAAAUGCACAGGUAAAUGGCGGAAGUAGUUGCUACAGCUUCUAAUAUUAGCCAAGUGUUUCGUCAUUAUGUGUGCUCUCUGAUUCUUGCCAUGGGCUUAUAGUACUAUGAUGCAUAGGGUAUGUGGGCCAGGUGUUCUAUCUGGCUCCCCAUGCCUUAUGUCGUAAUAUAUUAUACCUAUGGCUGAGAUGACGGCUUGGCACUUUUAAUAAUGAAGAUCACUUAGAGCAGAUAAACAAAAUUCCUGCUGUCCCUACUUGCAAUCUAGCGAAACCACAACCAAGGAGUACAGGCUUGGUUAAAUCAGUUGGGUCAUAGAAGACCUUAUUUAACUCGACUCCAGGUAGGCUCUGUAAAAAGGCUUCCGAUUGUGUAGCAUAAGUGGGAGCGGAAUUCUGAAAAAUGUUUUCGCGCAAGUGAAAUACCACUCCAUCCAAAGUCUUUUUACUCAUCCUUUAGUGUGGGUAUCAAAGGAGCACAUGUGCGUAUGUAUGUAUGUGCGUAUGUAUGUACGUAUGUAUGUAUGUAUGUAUGUAUGUACGUAUGUACGUAUGUAUGUAUGUAUGUACGUACGUAUGUAUGCUCCUCCCCUUAAUAGCAUUUUAUGGAGACACAGCCUAGUGGGGAGUUAAUUUACAGCGCCGCUAUAUUUGCUUUUCAUCUUUUGUUUCGAUAAAGGGUGGAAGUAUAAUGUGCGAAUGUAGUUAGCAGACUCAAAGAGAACAGAAAUCUCUUGUAGACUUUGCAAUAUAAGAAAUGUCUGUUAAGGUUAUUCUCCUUCUUAUGGGGGAGUUGUAUGGCCUGUAAUUAUCACCUCCUUAUUCCUGCGAAAACGUCAUGGUGGGUCAUACGGAUAUAUACGCAUAUGCAUAUGUAUAUAUGUACAUACGUGCACACGUAUAUAUGCACAUGCGUAUAUACCCGUAUGUCCUUCCAUAUAAUGUGCAAAUAAGGAGCGAUAGGAAAAGGGUUAUAAUAGGGAUAACUUUCUUGCGGCCGCCGAGCGACUUUAGCGACGUAGCUUUUUGACCAUUUUGUAAUAAUCAGCAUUUCCUAUCAUUGGGACGAAGAAGUCCCAAAGUGUCGGAUUGUUCAACCGCUAACAGGGAACGUGAGCUGAGUUUUGGCAGUCAUGAGACUUGCCUAGUUUUUAACCUACUGAUGAAAAUUGUUAAAUUAAUAACGCAUUGAUAAUGUGACGGUAAUCCAACUCAGUACGAGAGGAUAAGUUGGUUCAGACAUUUGGUAUAGGAAUUGGUUGACAAGCCAGAGUUCCGAAGCUACGUCUGUUGGAUGAUAAUGGCUGAAUACAUCUCAAGCCAGAAUCCAUGCUGAAUAAACAUUACUGUAAGCGUGUUCUGUAUAAUUUGGCUUUUCAUAUGUUUUGCUUUAUAAGCAAACUGGAAAAAGAAUACAUAUAUGUUUCCUUACUUUUUGUAGGACAACCAUAUAUUAGUAACCCAUCAGCCAAGGUAUUCCUCAAAGUUCGAAGAAGGGAGGGGGUAGCAUUUCAUUAGAGCGAUCGCCGCUAUCUAUGGUAGAAGCAGCUAUGUUCAAUUUUUUCCAAACUGUAGAGUGACAUUGAGAUUCCUUUUGCAGUGUGGUAGAAUGAGCGGUUUGUGUUGUACUCAUGCUCCCGUAUUACUUUUUAAAAUACGGUCGAGAGAGGUGAACACCGGGUUGCCCUUUUUUCCAUUUUUCAGCCGCUUGAUCCCAAGAUGCUAUGUACCUCUUUCCUUUUGAAGACUGCGAAGAAUACUUUUGAUCAUAAUUUUGAAAAUGCAGAAUGCAAUUAAAAAAUGCCUGUAGACGACUCGAAUUCCCCCUGGUGCUGUAAACAUGAAAGUAAAUCUCAUUUUACGAUCUGUUGAGGCUUAUCCAGGGGUGUUUCAUUUUUU